rnacentral:rRNA from 1 species
CCUACGGGGGGCAGCAGUGGGGAAUAUUGGACAAUGGGCGAAAGCCUGAUCCAGCCAUGCCGCGUGUGUGAAGAAGGUCUUCGGAUUGUAAAGCACUUUAAGUUGGGAGGAAGGGCAGUAAGUUAAUACCUUGCUGUUUUGACGUUACCAACAGAAUAAGCACCGGCUAACUUCGUGCCAGCAGCCGCGGUAAUACGAAGGGUGCAAGCGUUAAUCGGAAUUACUGGGCGUAAAGCGCGCGUAGGUGGUUCAGCAAGUUGGAUGUGAAAUCCCCGGGCUCAACCUGGGAACUGCAUCCAAAACUACUGAGCUAGAGUACGGUAGAGGGUGGUGGAAUUUCCUGUGUAGCGGUGAAAUGCGUAGAUAUAGGAAGGAACACCAGUGGCGAAGGCGACCACCUGGACUGAUACUGACACUGAGGUGCGAAAGCGUGGGGAGCAAACAGGAUUAGAUACCCCAGUAGUC